CCUGAUUCUAGCUGAUGAUGAAGAUGAAUAGAUAGAUAGAUAGAUAGAUAGAUAGAUAGAUAGAUAGAUAGAUAGAUAGAUAGAUAGAUAGAUCAGUAAAUAGAUAGAUAGAUAGAUAGAUAGAUAGAUAGAUAGAUAGAUAGAUCAAUAGAUCAGUAAAUAGAUAGAUAGAUAGAUAGAUAGAUAGAUAGAUAGAUAGAUAGAUAGAUAGAUAGAUAGAUAGAUAGAUGAUAGAUAGAUAGAUAGAUAGAUCAAUAGAUAGAUAGAUAGAUAGAUCAGUAAAUAGAUAGAUAGAUAGAUAGAUAGAUAGAUAGAUAGAUAGAUAGAUAGAUAGAUAGAUAGAUAGAUAGAUAGAUAGAUAGAUAGAUAGAUUGAUAGAUAGAUAGAUAGAUAAGUAAAUAGAUAGAUAGAUAGAUAGAUAGAUAGAUAGAUAGAUAGAUAGAUAGAUAGAUAGACAAACGAAUAAAUAAAUAAAUAAAUGCAUUUUAACACGCGUGCAGAAUAAAACUCAACAAUUAAGAUGUGAAUAGUAGAUUUAAAAAUAAUAAUAAAAAAAUUAAUGCCGAACUACAAAACAAGAAGGAAAACACUCGACUACAGCUGUUCGCUUG
ensembl:lncRNA